CCAGAGCCUGAAUCAGUGUGUGUGUUAGUGGAAGCGUCUGGAAAGGCGUGCGAUACAGGGUGACAGCCCCGUACACAAAAAUGCACAUAUUGUGAGCUUGAUGAGUAGGGCGGGACACGUGGUAUCCUGUCUGAAUAUGGGGGGACCAUCCUCCAAGGCUAAAUACUCCUGACUGACCGAUAGUGAACCAGUACCGUGAGGGAAAGGCGAAAAGAACCCCGGCGAGGGGAGUGAAAAAGAACCUGAAACCGUGUACGUACAAGCAGUGGGAGCACGCUUAGGCGUGUGACUGCGUACCUUUUGUAUAAUGGGUCAGCGACUUAUAUUCUGUAGCAAGGUUAACCGAAUAGGGGAGCCGAAGGGAAACCGAGUCUUAACUGGGCGUUAAGUUGCAGGGUAUAGACCCGAAACCCGGUGAUCUAGCCAUGGGCAGGUUGAAGGUUGGGUAACACUAACUGGAGGACCGAACCGACUAAUGUUGAAAAAUUAGCGGAUGACUUGUGGCUGGGGGUGAAAGGCCAAUCAAACCGGGAGAUAGCUGGUUCUCCCCGAAAGCUAUUUAGGUAGCGCCUCGUGAAUUCAUCUCCGGGGGUAGAGCACUGUUUCGGCA
rnacentral:rRNA from 1 species